UACGUAGGGUGCAAGCGUUACUCGGAAUUACUGGGCGUAAAGCGUGCGCAGGCGGUUUUGUAAGUCUGUCGUGAAAGCCCCGGGCUCGACCUGGGAAUUGCGAUGGAGACUGCAAGGCUUGAAUCUGGCAGAGGGGGGUAGAAUUCCACGUGUAGCAGUGAAAUGCGUAGAGAUGUGGAGGAACACCGAUGGCGAAGGCAGCCCCCUGGGUCAAGAUUGACGCUCAUGCACGAAAGCGUGGGGAGCAAACAGG
rnacentral:rRNA from 1 species